AUUGAACGCUGGCGGCAGGCCUAACACAUGCAAGUCGAACGAGUGGCGGACGGGUGUGUAAUGUCUGGGAAACUGCCUGAUGGAGGGGGAUAACUACUGGAAACGGUAGCUAUUACCGCAUACCAUCAGAUGUGCCGAGAUGGGAUUAGCUUGUUGGUGGGGUAACGGUUCACCAAGGCGACGAUCCCUAGCUGGUCUGAGAGGAUGACCAGCCACACGGGAACAUGGGCACGGUCCAGACUCCUACUGGAGGAAGCAGUGGGGAAGAUGGCACAAUGGGCGCAAGCCUGAUGCAGCCAUGCCGCGUGUAUGAAGAAGGCCUUGAGGUUGUAAAGUACUUUCAGCGGGGAGGCGUUAACCGGAGAAGAAGCACCGGCUAACUCCGUGCCAGCAGCCGCGGUAAUUC
rnacentral:rRNA from 1 species